rnacentral:lncRNA from 1 species
UAGGAUUAUAGGCGUGAGCCACUGCGCCUGGCCAGUCUUUUCUGUCAACCAUCAGUAGGCUGUUGGAGACUUGAGGAAGCUAAGGAACAUCUGAGUGCCACAAAGAUGUAAGAAGUUAUACGAUAGUUAUAGCAGGAGGUUUCCACAUCAUAGCACUGUGCAGCAAGUCACUGACAGCAUAAGCUCCCAGUCCCUGCUGAGAUGAAGACAAGACCACCUGAAGCCAGGUAGCUGGGGUGGGGUGGCAGGGGGAAGGAAGAUAAUAACAGCUGACAUCUGUGCACAACCUUCAGCAUUAUUCAAUAGAUACCUACACUGGGUAUAUUAUAGGACAAGGGAGGGGCACAAAAAUGAGUAAGACACAAGCACUGUCCUCAAGGAGCACAUAGUCUAAUAGGAGAGACAAACACAGCAUCAAUCAAUGAGUGUGGUGGCUGACUCGAAAACAGCCAGCAUUAGCUCCAUAGCAUGAGGUACAGUCAAGGAGGACCCUCUGGAGGAGUGUAGCUUGGAAUGACUUAUUCACUCAUGCAUGCUUAUCUGUAUGUAUGGCAUCUAAUGAUCUGGAAAUACAGAGGUGAAUAAAACAGAUGUAAUUUCCACUUUCAUUGAGGUUUUCACCCUGAAGCCGACAUGAGACUUGUCAGGCCAACAAUGGGCCAGUGGGAAGGGUGCUUCAAGCACAGGAAACAGCAUAGGGAAAGGCAUGGAGGUGUAAAGCAAGUUAGUGUCACCAGCACACAAAGGACAUAGCACUAGGCACGAGACGUGACUGGAUGGGAAAGCUCUCUCUUACUCUGAAGUUUCCAAAACAGAAAUAUAUAAUUCCCCACCUUGCACCAUCUACCCGUCUUCUCUCAGAAGUGCACUGUGCAGUGGAUGAAUGGAUAAACCCAAUGUGGUUUAUCCAUACAGUGGAAUAUUACUCUGCCAUAAAAAGGAGUAAAGUACCGACCUAUGCUAAACCAAGUGAACCUGGAUGACAUCAUGCCAAGUAAGAGACAUCAGGCACAAAAUGACGGAUUGACUCCACGCAGGGCAAAAUGCUGGGUGCUUCGCCAGACUAGAAGGCUCAGUAAGUUACUUUUGCAUUGCAUGAUUCCACUUAUAGGAGGUCCCUAGAGGAGUCAUAUUUAUAGAGACAGAAAGUAGAAUAGAAGUUACUAGGAGCUGGGGCAGGGGAAAUGGGGAGUGAGAGUUUAACAGGUAUAGAAUAUCCAUUGGGGAAGAUGAAAAAACUCUAUGGAUGGACACUGGUGAUGGCUUUGUCCUCCCAUCAGAAAGUACUUACCCCUGUCUAACUUUCCUCUCUCCUGCUGCAGUCACCUCUUUUGAUCUUCAGGGAGAGAGAGGCUAUUCUUAGAAAGUGGCCCUCAUGAUGAUCCUCCCAGCCUCCACAUCCUCUUUAAUCUCUACACAUUCAAAUGGUAAAGGUUAUGUUAUGUAUAAUUUACCACAAUUAAAAAAAAACUUUAAAAAGGGCACUAUGCUACUCUGAGCUAUUAAUACAUCUAUAUCUCAGAAAUAAUCAACAGUUCAUUCAUUCAUUCUUUCAUUCCACAAAUAUGUAUUGAGCAUCAACAAUGUACCAAGCAUGUUUCUAGGCACUAAGGGUAGAGAGUUUGCAAGAGAUGAGGACCCCGCCGGUAUGAAG